AUUGAACGCUGGCGGCAGGCCUAACACGUGCAAGUCGAGCGGAUGAAGGGAGCUUGCUCCUGGAUUCAGCGGCGGACGGGUGAGUAAUGCCUAGGAAUCUGCCUGGUAGUGGGGGAUAACGUCCGGAAACGGGCGCUAAUACCGCAUACGUCCUGAGGGAGAAAGUGGGGGAUCUUCGGACCUCACGCUCUCAGAUGAGCCUAGGUCGGAUUAGCUAGUUGGUGGGGUAAAGGCCUACCAAGGCGACGAUCCGUAACUGGUCUGAGAGGAUGAUCAGUCACACUGGAACUGAGACACGGUCCAGACUCCUACGGGAGGCAGCAGUGGGGAAUAUUGGACAAUGGGCGAAAGCCUGAGCCAGCCAUGCCGCGUGUGUGAAGAAGGUCUUCGGAUUGUAAAGCACUUUAAGUGGGGAGGAAGGGCAGUAAGUUAAUACCUUGCUGUUUUGACGUUACCAACAGAAUAAGCACCGGCUAACUUCGUG
rnacentral:rRNA from 1 species